UUGGCUACAGCUAUGGCGGAUACGGUAGAGAAAGUUCCCACCGUUGUUGAG
rnacentral:sRNA from 1 species